CAUUUUCCUUUCUUCCUCUUAUUUUAUUCUUCUCCCUUGUCUCUUUCAACGUAUAAGUUGUUGCUUUCUCUUCCCUUGAACGUGCAACUUCCAUUUCAGCUCCCCCUUGGACGACAAAGCAGCGACCGAACAACAAGGUCUCGAGCGUUCCUCCCUCCUCAAGAAAAUCCGGGACUUUGUGUGCUGCUGUGGUGGUCGCUCAACGACACCUCCAGCCGUUGUGCCGGGUCCAAAUCAUCGUCUAAACCUCAAUGGAUGUCCUUGUGUUGCCGUCCGGCCACAAGUGAGGAUCGCCAUUAGUUUCGGUGGUCCCUAAAUGGAGGAAGGCCGGGUCGUGUACAGUCGGUUGCAGUAAAGGAGAAAUAGGAUUCUCGCUAUCUCCUUCCAAGUAAUGACGGGUUUUCCAUCAAGACUGGAUGUAGGGUGACAGCUCACCCCCGAGAUAUCGAGAAAUAUGGGGUAUGAGCCAGAAGUGGUAAGAUGCCUUUUGAAGGGCUUGACUAAUAUCGCCAUUGAAGUGGUUCAGCUAAGGUAAGAAUAGGUUUAUCUGGAGGAGGCUCAACAGGUGCCUUUUCUUGUUCCUUGCUAUGUUGUCCACUGGCAUCAGGAGGUUCGAUGGCUGAGGAGUUUCUGGUAUGAUUUCUUCUAUGUCCUCUCGGUUGCCGUUCGUCUCAUAAAAAGCCACCCAAAAGGGGCUAUGCUCUUUAACUUCAACGUGGAGCCAUUGGCCAUAAUAGCGGUUUUCUUUACUGUCCAUUUUUUCUUCAUCAUAAGGAAAACUUUUGUAGUGCAUAGCAUAAUGACAAAGGAUUCCACAUGAAUAGUAGAAAUGAGAUAGUUUUUCAUAGCGGAAAUCUAACCAUAUAUUUUUUCCUUCUACUCAAAUCAGUUGGCCUGGUUUCAGAGGGUCUUGAAGGUUGACUUCUACCCGUGCCCGCCCUGCUCUUGCAUCUCUCUAAAGGGAGUCCAAAUAUUUGAACAUAGAAAGCACAUGUUGCAAAGUUGUAGCAAUGGAGGGGUGUGUUCGGUAGCCAAGGCGUGAGGAUUACUAGAUGUUGUGAGAAUAACCAAGGCCAAAGGUGACCCAAUCUCUGGCAUAGAGCUGCCAAUCGAGCAUCCUCAUCCAAGUUGGUGUGUUCCAUUUGCAACUCCACAGAACAGGGCAGCUUCAGCGAGGAUAAUAGGGAUUGAAGAGAAGGGCCAUAGCUUAAAGUCAAAGAAAGGAUAGAAUUUGAGAGGGAAGGUAGGAGGAUUAUGGAUGAAAUUCGGUGGCCAAAUUCAACUUGGGAUGGGGUUAAAGGUGAGGUAAAAGAUGAGAUUGGGUAGAAAAUUUGAGGCUAUGGCAUUGACGGUUGGAUGAUCCAUCAAGCGCACUAAAGCCGAGAAGCAAGUGAAGGGAAGGAUGAAGGAAGAGAGACGAUGGAAGUCAAGAGUUAGGGUUCGGGGAUUGAACUACUUAGUUAAUUACCAUAUUUUGCACGGGUUUUGCAUUUUAAAUUUUGUUGAAAAUUUACAUUUAUUGAGAAUCCUUCUGUGUUGGAGCAAAUUCAAUGUAGAAGGAAAGUGUAGUGCUUGCAAAUAUAGCUAUUGUACCGAUAAUUAUGAAAUUUAUUAAAUGGAAAGAGGUAUUGUCAAAACAAUAAAAAA